rnacentral:rRNA from 1 species
CCCUUAGAUGUCCUGGGCCGCACGCGCGUUACACUGAUGCAUUCAACGAGCUUAUAACCUUGGCCGAGAGGCCUGGGCAAUCUUGUUAACGUGCAUCGUGAUAGGGAUAGAUUAUUGAAAUUAUUAAUCUUGAACGAGGAAUUCCUAGUAAACGCAGAUCAUCAAUCUGCAUUGAUUACGUCCCUGCCCUUUGUACACACCGCCCGUCGCACCUACCGAUUGGAUGGUCCGGUGAAGCCUCGGGAUUGUGGUUCUUGCCGCUUUAUUGUGGCGUGACCGCGAGAACCUGUCUAAACCUUAUCAUCUAGAGGAAGGUGAAGUCGUAACA